rnacentral:rRNA from 1 species
AGUGAACGCUGGCGGUAGGCCUAACACAUGCAAGUCGAACGGCAGCACAGUAAGAGCUUGCUCUUACGGGUGGCGAGUGGCGGACGGGUGAUGAAUACAUCGGAAUCUACUUUUUCGUGGGUGAUAACGUAGGGACACUUACGCUAAUACCGCAUACGACCUACGGGUGAAAGCAGGGGAUCUUCGGACCUUGCGCGAUUGUAUGAGCCGAUGUCGGAUUAGCUAGUUGGCGGGGUAAAGGCCCACCAAGGCGACGAUCCGUAGCUGGUCUGAGAGGAUGAUCAGCCACACUGGAACUGAGACACGGUCCAGACUCCUACGGGAGGCAGCAGUGGGGAAUAUUGGACAAUGGGCGCAAGCCUGAUCCAGCCAUGCCGCGUGGGUGAAGAAGGCCUUCGGGUUGUAAAGCCCUUUUGUUGGGAAAGAAAAGCAGCAGGUUAAUACCCCGCUGUUCUGACGUUACCCAAAGAAUAAGCACCGGCUAACUUCGUG